GAUCCUGGCUCAGGAUGAACGCUAGCUACAGGCUUAACACAUGCAAGUCGAGGGGCAGCAUGGUCUUAGCUUGCUAAGGCCGAUGGCGACCGGCGCACGGGUGAGUAACACGUAUCCAACCUGCCCACCACUUGGGGAUAACCUUGCGAAAGUAAGACUAAUACCCAAUGAUAUCUCUAGAAGACAUCUGAAAGAGAUUAAAGAUUCAUCGGUGAUGGAUGGGGAUGCGU
rnacentral:rRNA from 1 species